GCACCCCGCUGACGAGCGGCGGACGGGUGAGUAAUGCUUAGGAAUCUGCCCAGUAGUGGGGGAUAGCCCGGGGAAACCCGGAUUAAUACCGCAUACGUCCUACGGGAGAAAGCAGGGGAUCUUCGGACCUUGCGCUACUGGAUGAGCCUAAGUCGGAUUAGCUAGUUGGUGGGGUAAAGGCCUACCAAGGCGACGAUCCGUAGCUGGUCUGAGAGGAUGAUCAGCCACAUCGGGACUGAGACACGGCCCGAACUCCUACGGGAGGCAGCAGUGGGGAAUAUUGGACAAUGGGGGCAACCCUGAUCCAGCCAUGCCGCGUGUGUGAAGAAGGCUUUCGGGUUGUAAAGCACUUUCAGCGAGGAGGAAGGCUCUGAAGUUAAUACCUUCAGGGAUUGACGUUACUCGCAGAAGAAGCACCGGCUAACUCCGUGCCAGCAGCCGCGGUAAUACGGAGGGUGCAAGCGUUAAUCGGAAUUACUGGGCGUAAAGCGCGCGUAGGUGGUUAGGUAAGCGAGAUGUGAAAGCCCCGGGCUUAACCUGGGAACGGCAUUUCGAACUGUCUGACUAGAGUGUGGUAGAGGGUAGUGGAAUUUCCUGUGUAGCGGUGAAAUGCGUAGAUAUAGGAAGGAACACCAGUGGCGAAGGCGGCUACCUGGACC
rnacentral:rRNA from 1 species